rnacentral:rRNA from 1 species
UUAAGCGACCAAGCGUACACGGUGGAUGCCCUGGCAGUCAGAGGCGAUGAAGGACGUGCUAAUCUGCGAUAAGCGCCGGUAAGGUGAUAUGAACCGUUAUAACCGGCGAUUUCCGAAUGGGGAAACCCAGUGUGAUUCGUCACACUAUCAUUACGUGAAUACAUAGCGUAAUGAAGCGAACCGGGGGAACUGAAACAUCUAAGUACCCCGAGGAAAAGAAAUCAACCGAGAUUCCCCCAGUAGCGGCGAGCGAACGGGGAGGAGCCCAGAGUCUGAAUCAGCAUAUGUGUUAGUGGAAGCGUCUGGAAAGGCGCGCGAUACAGGGUGACAGCCCCGUACACAAAAGCGCAUAUGCUGUGAGCUCGAUGAGUAGGGCGGGACACGUGGUAUCCUGUCUGAAUAUGGGGGGACCAUCCUCCAAGGCUAAAUACUCCUGACUGACCGAUAGUGAACCAGUACCGUGAGGGAAAGGCGAAAAGAACCCCGGCGAGGGGAGUGAAACAGAACCUGAAACCGUGUACGUACAAGCAGUGGGAGCCCCACCACCAAAGCGUUUGCUGUAGCGCGUUGACGGAGCGAAGCGACGUCAAACCGAAAAAAAACAGCAGCGAUGAACGCAGGGUGUUUUGCACGAAGUGCAAAGGCAGACGCGUUCGCGAAGCGAAAAGCGAAUGCUUUGGGGUGGGGUGACUGCGUACCUUUUGUAUAAUGGGUCAGCGACUUAUAUUCUGUAGCAAGGUUAACCGUAUAGGGGAGCCGAAGGGAAACCGAGUCUUAACUGGGCGCUAAGUUGCAGGGUAUAGACCCGAAACCCGGUGAUCUAGCCAUGGGCAGGUUGAAGGUUGGGUAACACUAACUGGAGGACCGAACCGACUAAUGUUGAAAAAUUAGCGGAUGACCUGUGGCUGGGGGUGAAAGGCCAAUCAAACCGGGAGAUAGCUGGUUCUCCCCGAAAGCUAUUUAGGUAGCGCCUCGUGAAUUCAUCUCCGGGGGUAGAGCACUGUUUCGGCCAGGGGGCCAUCCCGGCUUACCAAUCCGAUGCAAACUGCGAAUACCGGAGAAUGUUAUCACGGGAGACACACGGCGGGUGCUAACGUCCGUCGUGAAGAGGGAAACAACCCAGACCGCCAGCUAAGGUCCCAAAGUCAUGGUUAAGUGGGAAACGAUGUGGGAAGGCCCAGACAGCCAGGAUGUUGGCUUAGAAGCAGCCAUCAUUUAAAGAAAGCGUAAUAGCUCACUGGUCGAGUCGGCCUGCGCGGAAGAUGUAACGGGGCUAAACCAUGCACCGAAGCUGCGGCAGCGAACGUAUCACCCAAGACAACUUUGCAGAGUUGACGACUGACGGAGCGAAGCGACGUCAAAGCGUUCAUAAAAGUCGAGUUGGCUUAGGGAUACGUUCGUUGGGUAGGGGAGCGUUCUGUAAGCCGUUGAAGGUGUCCUGUGAGGGGUGCUGGAGGUAUCAGAAGUGCGAAUGCUGACAUAAGUAACGAUAAAGCGGGUGAAAAGCCCGCUCGCCGGAAGACCAAGGGUUCCUGUCCAACGUUAAUCGGGGCAGGGUGAGUCGACCCCUAAGGCGAGGCCGAAAGGCGUAGUCGAUGGGAAACGGGUUAAUAUUCCCGUACUUGGUGUUACUGCGAAGGGGGGACGGAGAAGGCUAUGUUGGCCGGGCGACGGUUGUCCCGGUUUAAGCGUGCAGGUGUGUGUUCCAGGUAAAUCCGGUUCACUUUAACACUGAGGCGUGACGACGAGGCACUACGGUGCUGAAGCAACAAAUGCCCUGCUUCCAGGAAAAGCCUCUAAGCAUCAGGUAACAUCAAAUCGUACCCCAAACCGACACAGGUGGUCAGGUAGAGAAUACCAAGGCGCUUGAGAGAACUCGGGUGAAGGAACUAGGCAAAAUGGUGCCGUAACUUCGGGAGAAGGCACGCUGACAUGUAGGUGAAGCGGUUUACCCGUGGAGCUGAAGUCAGUCGAAGAUACCAGCUGGCUGCAACUGUUUAUUAAAAACACAGCACUGUGCAAACACGAAAGUGGACGUAUACGGUGUGACGCCUGCCCGGUGCCGGAAGGUUAAUUGAUGGGGUCAGCGCAAGCGAAGCUCCUGAUCGAAGCCCCGGUAAACGGCGGCCGUAACUAUAACGGUCCUAAGGUAGCGAAAUUCCUUGUCGGGUAAGUUCCGACCUGCACGAAUGGCGUAAUGAUGGCCAGGCUGUCUCCACCCGAGACUCAGUGAAAUUGAACUCGCUGUGAAGAUGCAGUGUACCCGCGGCAAGACGGAAAGACCCCGUGAACCUUUACUAUAGCUUGACACUGAACAUUGAGCCUUGAUGUGUAGGAUAGGUGGGAGGCUUUGAAGCGUGGACGCCAGUCUGCGUGGAGCCAACCUUGAAAUACCACCCUUUAAUGUUUGAUGUUCUAACGUGGACCCGUUACCCGGGUUGCGGACAGUGUCUGGUGGGUAGUUUGACUGGGGCGGUCUCCUCCUAAAGAGUAACGGAGGAGCACGAAGGUUGGCUAAUCCUGGUCGGACAUCAGGAGGUUAGUGCAAUGGCAUAAGCCAGCUUGACUGCGAGCGUGACGGCGCGAGCAGGUGCGAAAGCAGGUCAUAGUGAUCCGGUGGUUCUGAAUGGAAGGGCCAUCGCUCAACGGAUAAAAGGUACUCCGGGGAUAACAGGCUGAUACCGCCCAAGAGUUCAUAUCGACGGCGGUGUUUGGCACCUCGAUGUCGGCUCAUCACAUCCUGGGGCUGAAGUAGGUCCCAAGGGUAUGGCUGUUCGCCAUUUAAAGUGGUACGCGAGCUGGGUUUAGAACGUCGUGAGACAGUUCGGUCCCUAUCUGCCGUGGGCGCUGGAAGACUGAGGGGGGCUGCUCCUAGUACGAGAGGACCGGAGUGGACGCAUCACUGGUGUUCGGGUUGUCAUGCCAAUGGCACUGCCCGGUAGCUAAAUGCGGAAGAGAUAAGUGCUGAAAGCAUCUAAGCACGAAACUUGCCCCGAGAUGAGUCUUCCCUGAGACUAUAAGUCUCCUGAAGGAACGUUAAAGACGAUGACGUUGAUAGGCCGGGUGUGUAAGCGCAGCGAUGCGUUGAGCUAACCGGUACUAAUGAACCGUGAGGCUUAACCUU